UGAGAUGUGAGGAGAAAGCUUCUCUAAAAGUGGAAACUAGGAAACACUUUUUAGGAAGCUAAAAAA
rnacentral:sRNA from 23 species